CCCUCACAUGGUUUGCAGCUUGACGUGCUGUGAGGGCUUCUGUGCAUCAGUGAUGCUGAGAGCUUCACCACUGGUACUUCACAAGUACUGGCAGGGUCACCCAUAGUGGACAGGUCUCAGCUGAGAUGCCAGACCAAGACAAAC
rnacentral:ribozyme from 1 species